rnacentral:rRNA from 1 species
UACGUAGGGUGCGAGCGUUGUCCGGAAUUACUGGGCGUAAAGGGCGCGUAGGCGGCAUGACAAGUCACUUGUGAAAUCUCUGGGCUUAACCCAGAACGGCCAAGUGAUACUGUCGCGCUAGAGUGCGGAAGGGGCAAUCGGAAUUCUCGGUGUAGCGGUGAAAUGCGUAGAUAUCGAGAGGAACACCUGCGGCGAAGGCGGGUAGCUGGGCCGACACUGACGCUGAUGCGCGAAAGCGUGGGGAGCGAACAGG